UAGAGUUUGAUCAUGGCUCAGGAUGAACGCUAGCUAUAGGCUUAACACAUGCAAGUCGAGGGGAAACGGCAUUAUGUGCUUGCACAUUUUGGACGUCGACCGGCGCACGGGUGAGUAUCGCGUAUCCAACCUGCCCUUUACUUGGGGAUACCCUGUUGAAAGACGGCCUAAUACCCGAUGUAAUUCAUUGAUGGCAUCAGAUAUGAAUAAAAGAUUUAUCGGUAAAGGAUGGGGAUGCGUCUGAUUAGCUUGUUGGUGAGGUAAUGGCUCACCAAGGCGACGAUCAGUAGGGGUUCUGAGAGGAAGGUCCCCCACAUUGGAACUGAGACACGGUCCAAACUCCUACGGGAGGCAGCAGUGAGGGAAUAUUGGUCAAUGGGCGCCAGCUUGAACCAGCCAAGUAGCGUGCAGGAAGACGGCCCUAUGGAUUGUAAACUGCUUUU
rnacentral:rRNA from 1 species